rnacentral:rRNA from 1 species
UGGGACCUACGGGGCGCAGCAGUGAGGAAUAUUGGUCAAUGGGCGGAAGCCUGAACCAGCCAAGUCGCGUGAGGGAAUAAGGCCCUACGGGUCGUAAACCUCUUUUGCCGGGGAGCAAGGGCGGGGACGUGUCCCGGCCCGGAGAGUACCCGGAGAAAAAGCAUCGGCUAACUCCGUGCCAGCAGCCGCGGUAAUACGGAGGAUGCGAGCGUUAUCCGGAUUUAUUGGGUUUAAAGGGUGCGUAGGCGGAAGGUUAAGUCAGCGGUCAAAUGUCGGUGCUCAACACCGGCCUGCCGUUGAAACUG